rnacentral:rRNA from 1 species
GAUGAACGCUGGCGGCGUGCCUAAUACAUGCAAGUCGAGCGAAUGGAUUAAGAGCUUGCUCUUAUGAAGUUAGCGGCGGACGGGUGAGUAACACGUGGGUAACCUGCCCAUAAGACUGGGAUAACUCCGGGAAACCGGGGCUAAUACCGGAUAACAUUUUGAACCGCAUGGUUCGAAAUUGAAAGGCGGCUUCGGCUGUCACUUAUGGAUGGACCCGCGUCGCAUUAGCUAGUUGGUGAGGUAACGGCUCACCAAGGCAACGAUGCGUAGCCGACCUGGGAGGGUGAUCGGCCACACUGGGACUGAGUCACGGCCCAGACUCCUACGGGAGGCAGCAGUAGGGAAUCUUCCGCAAUGGACGAAAGUCUGACGGAGCAACGCCGCGUGAGUGAUGAAGGCUUUCGGGUCGUAAAACUCUGUUGUUAGGGAAGAACAAGUGCUAGUUGAAUAAGCUGGCACCUUGACGGCACCUAACCAGAAAGCCACGGCUAACUACGUGCCAGCCGCCGCCGUAA